CAGAUGCCACGGGGGUCACUUCCCUGCCCAGGUGCCCACCGCUCUCCACAAGGACAUCACCAGGACUGGUCCUGAUAGAGACAGAGAAGAUGUGCAGAGGAGGUGCUAAGAGGGGACAGAGGCUGCGAAGCAGGCUCCGUGCUGACAGCUGAGAGCCCGAUGCUGGGCCUGAAUUCACGAACAAUAAGAUCAUGACCUGAACCAAGAUGCUCAACUGACUGAGCCACCAGGCGUCCUCAGUAAAGGGUUAUUUAAAUAACA